rnacentral:rRNA from 1 species
UCUGGUGACAAUACUGCGAGUGCUCCACCUGUUCCCAUUCCGAACACAGAAGUGAAAUCUCGCAAGGCCCAUGAUAGUGCCUUCGGGCGCGAAAGUAGGUAGUCGCCAGUU